UACGUAGGGGGCUAGCGUUGUCCGGAAUCAUUGGGCGUAAAGCGCGCGUAGGCGGCCCGGUAAGUCCGCUGUGAAAGUCAAAGGCUCAACCUUUGAAUGUCAGCGGAUACUGCCGGGCUAGAGUCCGGAAGAGGCGAGUGGAACUCCUGGUGUAGCGGUGGAAUGCGCAGAUAUCAGGAGGAACACCGAUUGCGAAGGCAGCUCGCUGGGACGUAACUGACGCUGAGACGCGAAAGCGUGGGGAGCAAACAGG
rnacentral:rRNA from 1 species